AGGACGAACGCUGGCGGCGUGCUUAACACAUGCAAGUCGAACGAUGACGAUGGUGCUUGCACCGUCUGAUUAGUGGCGAACGGGUGAGUAACACGUGAGUAACCUGCCCUCCUCUUCGGGAUAACCGCCGGAAACGGUGGCUAAUACCGGAUAUGAAUGCCUGCCGCAUGGUGGGUGUUGGAAAGAUUUAUCGGUGGGGGAUGGACUCGCGGCCUAUCAGUUUGUUGGUGAGGUAAUGGCUCACCAAGGCGAUGACGGGUAGCCGGCCUGAGAGGGCGACCGGCCACACUGGGACUGAGACACGGCCCAGACUCCUACGGGAGGCAGCAGUGGGGAAUAUUGCACAAUGGGCGAAAGCCUGAUGCAGCGACGCCGCGUGGGGGAUGACGGCCUUCGGGUUGUAAACCUCUUUCAGCAGGGAAGAAGCGAGAGUGACGGUACCUGCAGAAGAAGCGCCGGCUAACUACGUGCCAGCCGCGGC
rnacentral:rRNA from 1 species